rnacentral:ncRNA from 1 species
UAAAUUGAGAGUUUGAUCCUGGCUCAGGAUGAACGCUGGCGGCGUGCUUAACACAUGCAAGUCGAGCGAGGGAGCACCUUCGGGUGUGAACUAGCGGCGGACGGGUGAGUAACACGUGGGCAACCUGCCUUACAGAGGGGGAUAGCCUUCCGAAAGGAAGAUUAAUACCGCAUAUUAUGAUUUUUCUGCAUGGGAAAGUCAUG